AAUACAUGCAAGUCGAACGAAGGUUUUGUAGCAAUACGAAGCCUUAGUGGCGAAUGGGUGAGUAACGCGUUGGUGACCUGCCCCGAAGUGGGGAAUAACAGUCCGAAAGGACUGCUAAUACCUCAUGUGGUCACAAGGGUUGAAUACUUUGUGUCUAAAGGAGCAAUCCGCUUCGGGAGGGGCCUGCGUCCCAUCAGCUAGUUGGUAGGGUAAUGGCCUACCAAGGCUCCGACGGGUAGGGGGCCUGAGAGGGUGGCCCCCCACACUGGCACUGAAACACGGGCCAGACACCUACGGGUGGCAGCAGUAGGGAAUAUUGCACAAUGGGCGAAAGCCUGAUGCAGCAACGCCGCGUGUACGAUGAAGGCCUUCGGGUCGUAAAGUACUUUUUGAGGAGAUGAGGAAGGACAGUAUCCUCAGAAUAAGGAUCGGCCAACUACGUGCCAGCAGCCGCGGUAAAACGUAGGAUCCGAGCGUUAUCCGAAUUUACUGGGCGUAAAGCGCGUGCAGGCGGUUUGGUAAGUUGGAUGUGAAAGCUCCUGGCUCAACUGGGAGAGGCCGUUCAAAACUACCAGACUUGAGGGCGGUAGAGGGAGGUGGAAUUCCCGGUGUAGUGGUGAAAUGCGUAGAUAUCGGGAGGAACACCUGUGGCGAAAGCGGCCUCCUGGACCGUUCCUGACGCUCAGACGCGAAAGCUAGGGGAGCGAACGGGAUUAGAAACCCCGGUAGUCCUAGCCGUAAACGAUGCAGACUUGGCGUCGGUGGGGUAAAAGCCAUCGGUGCCGAAGCUAACGCGUUAAGUCUGCCGCCUGGGGACUACGGCCGCAAGGUUAAAACUCAAAGGAAUUGACGGGGGCCCGCACAAGCAGCGGAGCGUGUGGUUUAAUUCGUCUACGCGAAGAACCUUACCCGGGUUUGACAUACAGGUGGUAGGGAGCAGAGAUGUGACCGACCCUUCGGGGAGCCUGAACAGGUGCUGCAUGGCUGUCGUCAGCUCGUGUCGUGAGAUGUCCGGUUAAGUCCGGUAACGAGCGCAACCCUCGCUGUGUGUUAUAUGUGUCACACGUACUGCCGGUAUCAAGCCGGAGGAAGGUGGGGAUGACGUCAAGUCAGCAUGGCCUUUAUAUCCGGGGCUACACACACGCUACAAUGGCCAGUACAAUGGGUUGCAAAGCCGCGAGGUAGAGCCAAUCCCCAAAGCUGGUCUCAGUUCAGAUUGUAGGCUGCAACUCGCCUACAUGAAGCCGGAGUUGCUAGUAACCGCGCGUCAGCAUUAGUGCGGUGAAUACGUUCCCGGGCCUUGUACACACCGCCCGUCACGUCAUGGGAGCUGGUAACACCUGAAGCCGGUAUCCUAACCCGUAAGGGAGGGAGCUGUCGAAGGUGGGACUGGUGACUGGGACGAAGUCGUAACAAGGUA
rnacentral:rRNA from 1 species